rnacentral:rRNA from 1 species
AUUGAACGCUGGCGGCAGGCCUAACACAUGCAAGUCGAGCGGAUGAAGGGAGCUUGCUCCUGGAUUCAGCGGCGGACGGGUGAGUAAUGCCUAGGAAUCUGCCUGGUAGUGGGGGAUAACGUCCGGAAACGGGCGCUAAUACCGCAUACGUCCUGAGGGAGAAAGUGGGGGAUCUUCGGACCUCACGCUAUCAGAUGAGCCUAGGUCGGAUUAGCUAGUUGGUGGGGUAAAGGCCUACCAAGGCGACGAUCCGUAACUGGUCUGAGAGGAUGAUCAGUCACACUGGAACUGAGACACGGUCCAGACUCCUACGGGAGGCAGCAGUGGGGAAUAUUGGACAAUGGGCGUAAGCCUGAUCCAGCCAUGCCGCGUGUGUGAAGAAGGUCUUCGGAUUGUAAAGCACUUUAAGUUGGGAGGAAGGGCAGUAAGUUAAUACCUUGCUGUUUUGACGUUACCAACAGAAUAAGCACCGGCUAACUUCGUG